CGGAGGCUACACGAUGGAAUACGAUGAUGGCGCGAUGGCCUUACGAUGCCUCAAAGACGUCGUGUACAGCUUACGAUGCAUUUAAAUUAUAUGCCGAACGCAUCACGCGUUUUAAAUUGUUUAAUCAAUAUUGAAUAAAUAUUAUAUUGUACAUUUAAUUUCUGGUUUAAUCAUAAGACGGAAGACCGUGGUCAAGGUCACAG
rnacentral:lncRNA from 1 species